AACGCAUACGGCACCCGAGGCCUCGGCCGAGGGUAUGUCUGCCUCAGAGUCGGCGUAAACAAACUCCCCCGCGGUCAGCACACGCUGGUCCGUCGGGUGGGAACUGGCCCUCCCGUGGCAUCCGGAAGGGUUCCGUCCCCCGCGAAUCCACGGGUCCGCCGAAGGAGAGACACGGAGCGGUCCGGACGGGGCGGCGAGACCUCGCGUCUCCCGCCCCCAGGGCAAGCACGAUUUGGUGGGAGGAAGACGGGAGCGGUACUUCGGUGCCCUUCCCGCUUGUCCGCAAACAUCGUCGCGUUUGUCCGUGUCCCGGUGCCGCACCGCAGGGACCUCAAAAUCGGCGACGGGGGCAUCCGAUCGAAAGACCGGAUCCCUCGCGCGUCGCGCAACGACUUCGACCUGAGUUCAGGCAAGAUCACCCGCUGAACUUAA
rnacentral:misc_RNA from 1 species